UGAGGGUGAUCUGGCUGUGACAUCUGUCACCCCAUUGAUCAGAAGGGUUAAUUUAUCUGAAAUGGCUCAGUAGUUAUCCCCUUACUCCCUCA
rnacentral:sRNA from 1 species